rnacentral:rRNA from 1 species
UACGAAGGGGGCUAGCGUUGCUCGGAAUCACUGGGCGUAAAGGGCGCGUAGGCGGCCUGAUAAGUCGGGGGUGAAAGCCUGUGGCUCAACCACAGAAUUGCCUUCGAUACUGUUAGGCUUGAGACCGGAAGAGGUAAGUGGAACUGCGAGUGUAGAGGUGAAAUUCGUAGAUAUUCGCAAGAACACCAGUGGCGAAGGCGGCUCACUGGCCCGAUACUGACGCUGAGGCACGAAAGCGUGGGGAGCAAACAGG